UACGUAGGGCGCAAGCGUUGUCCGGAUUUAUUGGGCGUAAAGAGCUCGUAGGCGGUCUGUCGCGUCGGCUGUGAAACCCCGAGGCUCAACCUCGGGCCUGCAGUCGAUACGGGCAGACUAGAGUGUGGUAGGGGAGACUGGAAUUCCUGGUGUAGCGGUGAAAUGCGCAGAUAUCAGGAGGAACACCGGUGGCGAAGGCGGGUCUCUGGGCCGUUACUGACGCUGAGGAGCGAAAGCGUGGGGAGCGAACAGG
rnacentral:rRNA from 1 species